AUGGACUUGGUGCCAAGCUGCGUUUUCCUCCUGAUCAUUUUUCAAGGUGUCCAGUGUGAGGUGCAGCUGGUGGAGUCUGGGGGAGGCUUGGUGCUGCCUGGGGGGUCUCUGAGACUUUCCUGUGCAGCCUCUGGGUUCACCUUCAGUAUCCACUGGAUGGGCUGGUUCCGCCAGGCUCCAGGGAAGGAGCUGGAGUGGCUUGGUGAAAUUACUCCUGAUGGAAGUACCACACACUAUGCCAACUCUGUGAAGGGCCGAUUCACCAUCUCCAGGGACAAUGCCAAGAACAUGCUGUACCUGCAAAUGAACAGCCUCAGAGCCACGGACACUGACCAUUAUUACUGUGCUAGACACACAGAUCAC